GGGGAUGUAGUUCAGGGGUAGAACAUUUGCCUAGCAAGUAUGAGGCCCUGGAUUCAAUGCCCAGUACCGCCA
rnacentral:tRNA from 1 species